CCCUGCCAUUUGUACACACCGCCCGUCGCACCUACCGAUUGAAUGGUCCGGUGAAGCCUCGGGAUUGUGGUCAGUUUGCUUUAUUGCGAGUUGAUUGCAAGAACUUGUCUAAACCUUAUCAUUUAGAG
rnacentral:rRNA from 1 species